CCUACGGGAGGCUGCAGUAGGGAAUAUUGCUCAAUGGGGGAAACCCUGAAGCAGCAACGCCGCGUGGAGGAUGAAGGUUUUCGGAUUGUAAACUCCUUUUGUUAGAGAAGAUAAUGACGGUAUCUAACGAAUAAGCACCGGCUAACUCCGUGCCAGCAGCCGCGGUAAUACGGAGGGUGCAAGCGUUACUCGGAAUCACUGGGGGGAAAGAGCGCGUAGGCGGGAUAGCAAGUCAGAUGUGAAAUCCUAUGGCUUAACCAUAGAACUGCAUUUGAAACUGUUAUUCUAGAGUAUGGGAGAGGUAGGUGGAAUUCUUGGUGUAGGGGUAAAAUCCGUAGAGAUCAAGAGGAAUACUCAUUGCGAAGGCGACCUGCUAGAACAUAACUGACGCUGAUGCGCGAAAGCGUGGGGAGCAAACAGGAUUAGAUACCCCUGUAGUC
rnacentral:rRNA from 1 species